GCUUGUGUGGCUCAGUGGUAGAGCAUCAGCCCUUGGACCAAAGGGUCACUGGUUCAUUCCCGGUCAAGGGCA
rnacentral:tRNA from 1 species